AUGGAGCCAAGGGGAGGCCUGGUUGGGAGGGAGGCGAAAGCUGGAGAACCCCGAGUUCCCCUCUCCGAGCGGAGCCGGAGGGGAUGCUGCGCACCCCGAGCCGGCUGCCGCGCGUGGCCGCCCCCCGCAACAAGUGCCGGGUGCCAUGGCAACGGCGGGAAUUUACCGGUCCGGGCGGCCGGAAGCGGCCCCCGCCGAGCUCUCGGCUCGGGGAGCAAAAUCCUGUCCCCCUCCAGGGGGAGCAAAAUGGACGAAAGACGACCCCCAGGCAGAGGCUCGGGGCGCCUUAGGGACCUAGGGCAUCUCUUAUCUUUCCGGGGCAUGACACUGCCAGUCGGAGAUAUAAAAGCCUGCAUCAGGUGGAAGAAGUUAACUGCUGACCUCCGGUAUAUAGACUCCAGACUGGUUGGAACUGGAAAGUUGAUGUUGAUUCCCGAAAUACCACCUGGCAACCUCACCACCAACCAAUCAGAAGAAUGUCUACAGGUUGAUCAGCAACUGGUAAUCAUGAACAUAUCAAUAACCUCAGAUAUGCAGCUGACACCACCCUUAUGGAAGAAAGUGAAGAGGAACUAAAAAGCCUCUUGAUGCAAGUGAAAGAGGAGAGUGAAAAAGUGGGCUUAAAGCUCAACAUUCAGAAAAUGAAGAUCAUGGCAUCUGGUCCCAUCACUUCAUGGUGAAUAGAUGGGGAAACAGUGGAAACAGUGUCAGACUUUAUUUUUGGGGGCUCCAAAAUCACUGCAGAUGGUGAUUGCAGCCAUGAAACUAAAAGACGCUUACUCCUUGGAAGAAAAGUUAUGACCAACCUAGACAGCAUAUUCAAAAGCAGAGACAUUACUUUGCCAACAAAUGUCCGUCUAGUCAAGGCUAUGGUUUUUCCAGUGGUCAUGUAUGGAUGUGAGAGUUGGACUGUUAAGAAAGCUGAGUGCCGAAGAAUUGAUGCUUUUGUACUGUGGUGUUGGAGAAGACUCCUGAGAGUCCCUUGGACUGCAAGGAGAUCCAACUAGUCCAUUCUGAAGGAGAUCAGCCCUGGGUGUUCUUUACAGGGCAUGAUACUAAAGCUGAAACUCCAGUACUUUGG
rnacentral:lncRNA from 1 species